rnacentral:rRNA from 1 species
UGGGCUUGACAUGUCAGGAAUUCUGCAGAGAUGCGGGAGUGCCCUUCGGGGAAUCGGAACAC